rnacentral:sRNA from 1 species
CACCGCCUGGGGAGUACGACCGCAAGGUUAAAACUCAAAUGAAUUGACGGGGACCCGCACAAGCAGUGGAGCAUGUGGUUUAAUUCGAAGAUACGCGCAGAACCUUACCAACACUUGACAUGUUCGUCGCGACUUUAAGAGAUUAAAGUUUUCGGUUCGGCCGGACGAAACACAGGUGCUGCAUGGCUGUCGUCAGCUCGUGUCGUGAGAUGUUGGGUUAAGUCCCGCAACGAGCGCAACCCUCACUUUUAGUUGCCAUCAUUAAGUUGGGCACUCUGAAAGAACUGCCAGUGAUAAGCUGGAGGAAGGUGGGGAUGACGUCAAGUCCUCAUGGCCCUUACGUGUUGGGCUACACACGUGCUACAAUGGCAUCUACAACAGGAAGCAAGACGGCGACGUUAAGCAAAUCCUUAAAAGAUGCCUCAGUUCGGAUUGCACUCUGCAACUCGAGUGCAUGAAGCUGGAAUUACUAGUAAUCGUGGAUCAGCGUGCCACGGUGAAUGCGUUCCCGGGUCUUGUACACACCGCCCGUCACACCAUGGGAGUUGGUUCUACCUUAAGGCAAGGUUUAAAACCCUUGACCACGGUAUAGUCAGCGACUGGGGUGAAGUCGUAACAAGGUAGCCGUAGGGGAACCUGCGGCUGGAUUACCUCCUUUCUAAGGAUGAAUGAAAACUUGUUUUCAUUCUAAAUAAUAUACAGGUAAUGUUGACCGUCCUCAUUUCUCUUCUUAAAAUAGUGUUUCUCUUGCAUGGGGGCCGGUAGCUCAGUUGGUUAGAGCACACCCUUGAUAAGGGUGGGGUCGAAAGUUCGAGUCUUUCUCGGCCCACCAAAUUAAGAUCUUGGGGGAUUAGCUCAGCUGGGAGAGCGCCUGAUUUGCAUUCAGGAGGUCAGCGGUUCGAUCCCGCUAUCCUCCACCAAAAACACUUAGCUAUAAAAAAUCGUAAAGAAUUAAUAAUUAAUAUCAAUAUCUAUAUCCGAACAUUAGUAAUGUUAUUAGCUAAUGUUCAAAAUAAAAAUUUGAUUCAACACAGAAUUUUUUUCUG